rnacentral:rRNA from 1 species
CGGAGAGUUUGAUCCUGGCUCAGAUUGAACGCUGGCGGCAUGCCUUACACAUGCAAGUCGAACGGCAGCACGGAGCUUGCUCUGGUGGCGAGUGGCGAACGGGUGAGUAAUAUAUCGGAACGUACCCUGGAGUGGGGGAUAACGUAGCGAAAGUUACGCUAAUACCGCAUACGAUCUACGGAUGAAAGUGGGGGAUCGCAAGACCUCAUGCUCGUGGAGCGGCCGAUAUCUGAUUAGCUAGUUGGUAGGGUAAAAGCCUACCAAGGCAUCGAUCAGUAGCUGGUCUGAGAGGACGACCAGCCACACUGGAACUGAGACACGGUCCAGACUCCUACGGGAGGCAGCAGUGGGGAAUUUUGGACAAUGGGCGAAAGCCUGAUCCAGCAAUGCCGCGUGAGUGAAGAAGGCCUUCGGGUUGUAAAGCUCUUUUGUCAGGGAAGAAACGGUGAGGGCUAAUAUCCCUUGCUAAUGACGGUACCUGAAGAAUAAGCACCGGCUAACUACGUGCCAGCAGCCGCGGUAAUACGUAGGGUGCAAGCGUUAAUCGGAAUUACUGGGCGUAAAGCGUGCGCAGGCGGUUUUGUAAGUCUGAUGUGAAAUCCCCGGGCUCAACCUGGGAAUUGCAUUGGAGACUGCAAGGCU